rnacentral:rRNA from 4 species
UGAGACUUUGAGUCUCCUGAAGGAACGUUAAAGACGAUGACGUUGAUAGGCCGGGUGUGUAAGCGCAGCGAUGCGUUGAGCUAACCGGUACUAAUGAACCGUGAGGCUUAACCUUACAACGCCGAAGGUGUUU